GACGAACGCUGGCGCCGUGCUUAACACAUGCAAGUCGAACGGUAAGGCCCUUCGGGGUACACGAGUGGCGAACGGGUGGGUAACACGUGGGUGAUCUACCCUACACUUCGGGAUAAGCCUGGGAAACUGGGUCUAAUACCGGAUAGGACCCUGGGAUGCAUGUCCUGGGGUGGCAAGCUUUUGCGGUGUGGGAUGGGCCCGCGGCCUAUCAGCUUGUUGGUGGGGUGAUGGCCUACCAAGGCGACGACGGGUAGCCGGCCUGAGAGGGUGACCGGCCACACUGGGACGGAGAUACGGCCCAGACUCCUACGGGAGGCAGCAGUGGGGAAUAUUGCACAAUGGGCGCAAGCCUGAUGCAGCGACGCCGCGUGAGGGAUGACGGCCUUCGGGUUGUAAACCUCUUUCAGCACCGACGAAGCGCAAGUGACGGUAGGUGCAGAAGAAGGACCGGCCAACUACGUGCCAGCCGCCGCCGUAA
rnacentral:rRNA from 1 species